CCUACGGGGGGCAGCAGUGAGGAAUAUUGGUCAAUGGGCGCGAGCCUGAACCAGCCAAGUAGCGUGAAGGAUGACUGCCCUACGGGUUGUAAACCUCUUUUAUAAAGGAAUAAAGUGCGGCACGCGUGCCUCUUUGUAAGUACUCUAUGAAUAAGGAUCGGCUAACUCCGUGCCAGCAGCCGCGGUAAUACGGAGGAUCCGAGCGUUAUCCGGAUUUAUUGGGUUUAAAGGGAGCGUAGAUGGGUUGUUAAGUCAGUUGUGAAAGUGUGCGGCUCAACCGUAAAAUUGCAAUUGAUACUGGCAGCCUUGAGUACAGUUGAGGUAGGCGGAAGUCGUGGUGUGGCGGUGAAAUGAU
rnacentral:rRNA from 1 species